GACGAACCGUGCGAACGUUGUUCGGAAUCACUGGGCUUAAAGGGCGCGUAGGCGGGCUGUCAAGUCUGGGGUGAAAUGCCGCGGCUCAACCGUGGAACUGCCUCAGAUACCGACGGCCUCGAGGAAGGUAGGGGCAUGCGGAACUGUAGGUGGAGCGGUGAAAUGCGUUGAUAUCUACAGGAACUCCGGUGGCGAAAGCGGCGUGCUGGACCUUUUCUGACGCUGAGGCGCGAAAGCUAGGGGAGCAAACGGG
rnacentral:rRNA from 1 species